CUACGGGGGGCUGCAGUGGGGAAUAUUGCACAAUGGGCGCAAGCCUGAUGCAGCCAUGCCGCGUGUAUGAAGAAGGCCUUCGGGUUGUAAAGUACUUUCAGCGGGGAGGAAGGGAGUAAAGUUAAUACCUUUGCUCAUUGACGUUACCCGCAGAAGAAGCACCGGCUAACUCCGUGCCAGCAGCCGCGGUAAUACGGAGGGUGCAAGCGUUAAUCGGAAUUACUGGGCGUAAAGCGCACGCAGGCGGUUUGUUAAGUCAGAUGUGAAAUCCCCGGGCUCAACCUGGGAACUGCAUCUGAUACUGGCAAGCUUGAGUCUCGUAGAGGGGGGUAGAAUUCCAGGUGUAGCGGUGACAUGCGUAGAGAUCUGGAGGAAUACCGGUGGCGAAGGCGGCCUCCUAGACGAAGACUGACGCUCAGGUGCGAAAGCGUGGGGAGCAAACAGGAUUAGAUACCCCCGUAGUC
rnacentral:rRNA from 1 species